GAUUUUCUCAGAGUCAGUGGCUAUUCUAGAAACCACCAAGUAGUUGUGCAGCAACUACUCAUUUUUCUCAUUUGGUUCUUAGGAUCAUGACAGUCUCUGGCGAGUGGAACUGAUGAAUGCAUCAUUCUUGUCUAAAUUGGUUUUAGGUUGUGGUAGGUAAGACUCAAGUCAGUUAUAGCUUAUACUUCAAUGCAAUCAGUUCGCUUGCUAUGAUUUCCAAUUCAUAGUGAUUCAACGAUAUGCAAACUAAAGUGGAAUUGAAUCUUCAACAGGUGCACAUAUACCGGAAAUACUACCCAGACAAAUUAUUGCGGCUGUUGCAGCCUUGAAUAUGACGACGCAAGUGCAGUAUUUUGUCCGAUGCUCUACGGAGCGACUGGUCAACCGAAUACUGCUGCAUCCUGUUUGCCAAAUAACGAAGUUCUGCCAUUACUUAUGUACUCCGCCGUUCCAAACAUAGGGGUAGCCAGGCAUCAUUCAGGUCCAGGAUGGCGGACCUUUUAUAUGAAUAUUGGAGUACAGUCGAGGAAUCGCUUCUAGAGUUUUGGUAUAUGACCAUCACUCCGGUCUUCGAUGAGAUCAAUGAUAUUGUGAGCCAGUACGAUUUCCUUCCGCUGCUAGGAGUAUGUUUAUGGCACGUCGAUCUUGUUGUUGUACCUACACUCACCAGAGUGUUUGCGUUUCUUUCGGUAGUUGCUGCAAGCUACCCUUCGUACCUUGAGGCGGAGAAUUUCGAGGGGCCAAUGGGGAAGCUGUCACACAACAUUGUGGGAACUUUAUUUAGAUACGAGACUUCAAUGGAUGCAAUGUUCUGCAUAUUGAACUUUGUGUACAAGGGCAUUAUACUCGAGGCGCGUAUGGGAACGAAGCGUUUCUUCAAUAUGUUAUUUCUACUCGCACUUGCUAUUGGAGUCCUGAAAAGCGUUCUCGAACAAGCCGGUAUGUCGCUGAUUGGAGGGAUCUACCCGCUGCUUCUUAGUCUCAAGGUGAUUAUUAACUACACGUGUUUGUUUCAUCACCCAGUCCGGUACCCUAUAUUCCAUCCGUUCCUUGUACGGAGGCUGCGAUUCCUCGAGUAUUUCAUCGCACUUAUUCGCACGCGCAGCCCUCAGGGGCAUUUAGGGGAGACUGAUCCGACGGACGGAGUUCUAGCAAAGCAAAUGUCAAACUCGUCCAACUGUUUCGAGGCCGUUAUCAUAACAGAAACGCAUUUUCGGCGGCACACGAAUUUCGCAUUGGAUUUUCGCGCCUUCGGUCCUCAUCUGUAAGGGUGGCAGUGAAGUAGCAGUUGGUUUAUCUGGGCCGAUACUGCAAGCCAACAAACCGUCGAUUGUCCUACUCCUAGACCUGGUGAAAACUUUUGGCAUGCCCUACUGCACAGAUGCACAGAAGAAUUCACCAAACUUUGACAACCAAGUGUUCUCGCUUAAGGGCUGUGUAGGCAGGUAUCAGUGGUGGGCUUCCCCUACGCUGAAAUGUCACAAAGCAUCUCACACAUUUGACGGCAACAUGUCGCCUGCACCGUUAGGUCCGCCGACUUCUCUCAGUUCCGAUACGGCCCCAGCAGCCACUGCAUCGCAUCACCGUACGAAAGUAAGUAUUCGAACGUGCUUCCAUUUUGAUUAGUCGCGAGCUAACAUUUCGAACAGACGACAUCUACGCAGACUUUCGUCCAUUUUAUUUUCCGCACUUAUAACGCGCGCGUCGACGCGCAUUUUUAUCGGCUGCCGCAAUUGGAGAGUUCAGCGAGAACCUCGAGAGCAAGAUAACGAAUACACCCGUCGAAGGGCUGGAUAACGUCGAAAGCAACGUAUAAGGGCGUUCGAGAUAGAUAUAAGGGUUGCACGCCAAUACAUUUUUAAUCGGCCUAUAUUUUCCCGAAAUAGAUAUAAUAUGCUGCUCUUGGUGGUAAAUAGGCAGACAAGAAGAGGAGGUCGACACCUAUAUGCCAAACAGUAUGGAAAAAAAGGAUUUCCUACAAAAUGGAUAGCUCGGUACGAAAAAAAGCAUCACUACGUUUGGAUUCAAGGUUGGAUCGCCACGUGCCCUUAAACAUACCAGGCGGCGUAAAUGGAGGCGUUUACGGAAACCCGGCAUUGGUCCCGUCACGGUCAAUACAGAAACCUGUGGUGGGCGCUGUCCAAGCGCCAAUGAGCGCGUCUGUCCGCUUAAACUACAUGAUGAUGUGGCCAGCGCCACCUAGAACUCUACCAGUUGCAGCAAUUCGAAGACCAGUAUAUUACAACCUUUAAACGAUGGUAGAAAAUUACUCAAGUGACCGUUUAAAUAGACAGUUGAAGCAAGUGACAAACAAGAGCCAUAUUUAGAUUUUUUUUAGGUAUGUCUUCUAUAAUCGAUUUCACAUCUCGUACACACGAUGUGUACAAUUUUUCUCAUGGUUGUGGUAAAGAAUUAGUUGUGAUGUAAAUUUAUACGUGGAACCAUCUGUGCCAUUGGCAAUGAUGACAGCAUAAGAUACCUUCAUCUUAUCUAUAAGAUAAUAGCGGCAACUCAUGAAUUCUCGAACCCAUACUCGUACACGUCAAGAAAAUAUUAAGAUCAGACGGGGAUGAACAUGAGCAACGUACAUUAUCAUCAGCUGUGAUCGAAUUGGACCACUAGACAAUCUGUACAACAAAGAUACGCCUAAGAAAUUUAACGCGCUCCCAUUCUGUUUCCCACCCGUAUUGAAUGAACGGGAAUACAUAGACUGUCAUUUUCUACACAAACCAGGAUUUUUUCCGAAGCUAACGACAGGAAUUGAAGGCACGUGUAACAAUCACUCGAUCAUGAUUCUUCAAUAGAUUGUACAACGUUGCAAACAAUUCUUCAAAAUGACUAUAACGUUCUUCUUCUUAUGCGUCCUGAGAUGAUAAUUUCGAUUCCCUAUUUUAUAAAUUGUUCUAUGAUGCUGCAAACGCUUGAUGUAACAUUUUGUGCAUGUUAACAUCUAACUAAGACUAACUUCGAACAGAUUGGGUACUUUAAAGACUUCUAGUCUCAUAUAAAGUUUUCGACGAAUGGACGCUCAGGCGUCUUUAAACGAUUUCUGUUUGAAUUGGUUUUCUUCUGCUACAAGCCAUUAAUUGUGCGGUUGCUGUCCAACAAAAUGGCCAUGAUACUCCUACUGAACGCGAACGUGAGCUCCGACGUCCAGUUUGAUAGCUUUUUCUUAAUAACCUACUCACCGACACUGUGAAAGCAAUUAGAGAGCCACCUGCCUUGAAACGGAUCAAAUAUUGAUUAAUAAUAUUUAUUUUCUUCAGGAAAAAAUAUAAAUUACAUAAAUCUGUACUCACAUAUAGCAAGCUAUAAAUCAUAUGUAUGCGUGGCAGCGCAUCUAUAGGCAAGGCACGUCGCGACACGGUAUUUACAUCUGAAAAAGAAGAACCGAUUGGUUCUCGAUUUUGUCGUAAACCAAACAACAACUGCUCGCUAAAUUAUUAUUACAGUUACACGGUUCCAUGUAAAAACGGUUAGUGCAGAAACGUGUGUAAGAAACAAGCAAUCGCCUCCUGACUGCAAUAGAUUUCAAUUGAAAACCAUCCAAUCUUAGAACGUGCUUAUCCUAUUUACUGGUCGAACGUAACACAGUAUGCUUUUGAACAUUACUGUAGUACCAUGGCACACUAUACAUAUUGUGAAAAAUACCAUGCUGGAUUGCAUAACCGUCUAUUAACCUGCUCAGGCUAUUGUGGGCAGCAUCAGCGGUUAGAUUACAGUAAAAAGUGCACAUCUGGGUGCGGGCGCUUGCAAAGGGUCCUCUUAGAUCAAACUGUGAUUAGAGUUGUACGCCCGACGUCACCGUUAGGUAUUCCAACACACGGUCAGCCUUUGGCACGAAACGAAGCAUGUCGAUACUCGCUUUCGAACCAAAACCACCGACUUUCGCAAUUCUUGCAGGCAAACAUGCUAUCUAUUUUGAGUCAAUCUGUACUUUAUGAAUUUUCACAAUAAACAUGCUUUUCCAUCUAAAAGACUGUA